AUACUUACCUGGACGGGGUCAACGGUUGAUCAAGAAAGACUGUGGCCUAGACUAGUGGUUCUCAUUGCACUUUGAGAAUGCGCUAGCUUACCAUCUACCCAAGUGGUAGAGUGGACGUCAUAAUUUGUGGUAGAAGGGGGUACGCGCAUGCGCGGCCCCUGC